rnacentral:rRNA from 1 species
UACAGAGGGUGCGAGCGUUGUUCGGAAUUAUUGGGCGUAAAGGGCGCGUAGGCGGUGCGGUAAGUCACCUGUGAAAUCUCCUGGCUCAACUGGGAGUCUGCAGGCGAAACUGCCGUGCUGGAGUGUGGGAGAGGUGAGUGGAAUUCCCGGUGUAGCGGUGAAAUGCGUAGAUAUCAGGAGGAACACCGGUGGCGAAAGCGCUCGUCUGGCCCAAUACUGACGCUGAUGCGCGAAAGCUAGGGGAGCAAACGGG